GAAAGUCAGCUGCUACCUCCUUUGGCACCUACGAGAAAGUCAAACCAUACAACUGAGGGCAGCACAUGCACAAACUUUCAUCAGGCUAACCACUCCUACCAACCAUAAAAGCCAGGCCACUCUUUCUCCCCAGCUCUCUAAAGCCAAUUUCUGAGCAGCUCGAGAAAUAGCGUGAUUCUCUGCAGCCAGCCCUUGACAUUAAACAUGUUACCUCAUUGUUAUUCACACCCGGAGGACACAAGGGCAGCACUGUAGCUUUGCCAAGGGAUGCAGAAACCCAUCUCUGGAUAUAUAUUAUGUCACAGAACAUUUGGUAAUACACAGAGCACUGGUAUAUCAGAAACAUCUCCCAAACAGAUGGAGUACAUAAUUAUAAUUUUGAAGAGGCGAUCAUUCAAGCUGAUGGUUCAAGUUGAUUUAAAUAUUUUCUUUCUAAUGAAGUUUGAAAUAAUACAACGAUCUGAACCAACUUUCCUAGUGUUUCCUUAUAUAAGCUUAAGGAUUCCCUUCCCAA